rnacentral:rRNA from 1 species
GGUUAAGUGACUAAGCGUACACGGUGGAUGCCUUGGCAGUCAGAGGCGAUGAAGGACGUAGUAACUUGCGAUAAGCUCAGAUUAGGCAGUAACAGCCACUUGAGUCUGAGAUUUCCGAAUGGGGAAACCCAACUGCAUAAGCAGUUACUGUUAACUGAAUACAUAGGUUAACAGGGCGAACCGGGGGAACUGAAACAUCUAAGUACCCCGAGGAGAAGAAAUCAACCGAGAUUCCGAUAGUAGCGGCGAGCGAAAUUGGAUUAGCCCUUAAGCUUUACAUGCGUCAGGUGAAGGUUCUGGAAAGGACCGCGAAACAGGGUGAUAGCCCCGUAGCCGACAGCGCAUGUUCAGUGAAAUCGAGUAGGGCGGGACACGUGUUAUCCUGUCUGAAUAUGGGGGGACCAUCCUCCAAGGCUAAAUACUCCUGACUGACCGAUAGUGAACCAGUACCGUGAGGGAAAGGCGAAAAGAACCCCUGUGAGGGGAGUGAAAUAGAACCUGAAACCGUGUACGUACAAGCAGUAGGAGCCUCUUCGUGGGGUGACUGCGUACCUUUUGUAUAAUGGGUCAGCGACUUAUAUUCAGUGGCAAGGUUAACCAUUUAGGGGAGCCGUAGGGAAACCGAGUCUUAACUGGGCGUUCAGUCUCUGGAUAUAGACCCGAAACCGGGUGAUCUAGCCAUGGGCAGGUUGAAGGUUGAGUAACAUCAACUGGAGGACCGAACCGACUAAUGUUGAAAAAUUAGCGGAUGACUUGUGGCUAGGGGUGAAAGGCCAAUCAAACUCGGAGAUAGCUGGUUCUCCCCGAAAGCUAUUUAGGUAGCGCCUCGGACGAAUACUACUGGGGGUAGAGCACUGUUAAGGCUAGGGGGUCAUCCCGACUUACCAACCCUUUGCAAACUCCGAAUACCAGUAAGUACUAUCCGGGAGACACACGGCGGGUGCUAACGUCCGUCGUGGAGAGGGAAACAACCCAGACCGCCAGCUAAGGUCCCAAAUUACAGCUAAGUGGGAAACGAUGUGGGAAGGCUCAGACAGCUAGGAUGUUGGCUUAGAAGCAGCCAUCAUUUAAAGAAAGCGUAAUAGCUCACUAGUCGAGUCGGCCUGCGCGGAAGAUGUAACGGGGCUAAGCUGUAAACCGAAGCUGCGGCAAUGCGAUUUAUCGUAUUGGGUAGGGGAGCGUUCUGUAAGCCGUUGAAGGUGUGUUGUAAAGCAUGCUGGAGGUAUCAGAAGUGCGAAUGCUGACAUGAGUAACGACAAGGGGGGUGAAAAACCUCCCCGCCGGAAGACCAAGGGUUCCUGUCCAACGUUAAUCGGGGCAGGGUAAGUCGACCCCUAAGGCGAGGCCGAAAGGCGUAGUCGAUGGGAAACGGGUUAAUAUUCCCGUACUUCUUACAAUUGCGAUGGGGGGACGGAGAAGGCUAGGUGGGCCUGGCGACGGUUGUCCAGGUUCAAGUGCGUAGGCUUGAGGGUUAGGUAAAUCCGGCUCUCUCUAAGGCUGAGACACGACGUCGAGCUACUACGGUAGUGAAGUCAUUGAUGCCAUGCUUCCAGGAAAAGCCUCUAAGCUUCAGAUUGUAAGGAAUCGUACCCCAAACCGACACAGGUGGUCGGGUAGAGAAUACCAAGGCGCUUGAGAGAACUCGGGUGAAGGAACUAGGCAAAAUGGUACCGUAACUUCGGGAGAAGGUACGCUCUUGAUGGUGAAGUCCCUCGCGGAUGGAGCUGAUGAGAGUCGCAGAUACCAGGUGGCUGCAACUGUUUAUUAAAAACACAGCACUGUGCAAAAUCGUAAGAUGACGUAUACGGUGUGACGCCUGCCCGGUGCCGGAAGGUUAAUUGAUGGGGUUAGCGUAAGCGAAGCUCUUGAUCGAAGCCCCGGUAAACGGCGGCCGUAACUAUAACGGUCCUAAGGUAGCGAAAUUCCUUGUCGGGUAAGUUCCGACCUGCACGAAUGGCGUAAUGAUGGCCACGCUGUCUCCACCCGAGACUCAGUGAAAUUGAAAUCGCUGUGAAGAUGCAGUGUACCCGCGGCUAGACGGAAAGACCCCGUGAACCUUUACUACAGCUUGGCACUGAACAUUGAACCUACAUGUGUAGGAUAGGUGGGAGGCUUUGAAGAC